GGGNGGGGAANAGAGAGCUUAACCAUGCAAGUCGAACGGUGAACCAGGUGCUUGCACUUGGGGAUCAGUGGCGAACGGGUGAGUAACACGUGAGCAACCUGCCCCUGACUCUGGGAUAAGCGCUGGAAACGGCGUCUAAUACUGGAUACGAACCGGAACCGCAUGGUUACUGGUUGGAAAGAUUUUUUGGUUGGGGAUGGGCUCGCGGCCUAUCAGCUUGUUGGUGAGGUAAUGGCUCACCAAGGCGUCGACGGGUAGCCGGCCUGAGAGGGUGACCGGCCACACUGGGACUGAGACACGGCCCAGACUCCUACGGGAGGCAGCAGUGGGGAAUAUUGCACAAUGGGCGGAAGCCUGAUGCAGCAACGCCGCGUGAGGGAUGACGGCCUUCGGGNNGUAAACCUCUUUUAACAGGGAAGAAGCGAAAGUGACGGUACCUGCAGAAAAAGCGCCGGCUAACUACGUGCCAGCAGCCGCGGUAAUACGUAGGGCGCAAGCGUUAUCCGGAAUUAUUGGGCGUAAAGAGCUCGUAAGCGGUUUGCCGCCUCUGCUGUGAAAUCCCGAGGCUCAACCUCGGGCCUGCAGUGGGUACGGUCAGACUACAGUGCGCUANNGGAGAUUGGAAUUCCUGGUNUACCAAGGGAAUGCGCAGAUAUCAGGAGGAANNCCAUGGUCGAANGCAGAUCU
rnacentral:rRNA from 1 species